UGGGGAAUAUUGGACAAUGGGCGAACGCCUGAUCCAGCCAUGCCGCGUGUGUGAAGAAGGUCUUCGGAUUGUAAAGCACUUUAAGUUGGGAGGAAGGGCAGUAAGCGAAUACCUUGCUGUUUUGACGUUACCGACAGAAUAAGCACCGGCUAACUCUGUGCCAGCAGCCGCGGUAAUACAGAGGGUGCAAGCGUUAAUCGGAAUUACUGGGCGUAAAGCGCGCGUAGGUGGUUCGUUAAGUUGAAUGUGAAAGCCCCGGGCUCAACCAGGGAACUGCAGCCAAUACUGGCGAGCUAGAGUAGGGCAGAGGGUGGUGGUAUUUCCUGUGUAGCGGUGAAAUGCGUAGAUAUAGGAAGGAACACCAGUGGCGAAGGCGACCACCUGGGCUCAUACUGACACUGAGGUGCGAAAGCGUGGGGGGCAAACAGG
rnacentral:rRNA from 1 species